rnacentral:lncRNA from 1 species
UAACCUUCUCAUCUCAACCAACAUGGUCAUGGUUUUUAUUACCCAUCACAUCUCAGCAUUAUUUAAGGAUCUUUAUUGCUACCCCUAUUUCUCUUAUUCAUUUAUAGCAACCUCUCCUCCUCCUCCUCCUCCUCCUCUCUCUCGGUCUCUCCUUCCUUAAAUUUUGCUUGUUGAACAGGUCUUUAACAAAGAAAGGCAAGUCCACCUUUCAAAUUUUCCACAAGCUCGGUUUCUUCCGUAGACUGCUAAGCG